GUUCUCACCUACAUGUGGUAUUUUCAGUUAUUAAUUUCUAGUGACUCAUGAUAUUCACUGUAGUUUUAAUUUGCAUUUCUCUGAUAUCGAGUUGAAUUAUUUCCUAAUGCCUUUCAAUACUUUCAGAACGUCUAUCUUCCCUCCCUGACAGAGGCUGCAUAUUUCUUUUAUCUUUUUUUUAAAAUUUUUGGAUCUCUGUGUGUUUAUUCAUUAAAAACAUUUUAAUGGGGUAUUUCAAAGCUAAGUAAAGCUAGUGAGUAACAAACCCUUAUGGACUCACCCUCAUAUGUAAGAAUCAUCAAAACGAGCCCCUCAUUUUUCAUCUAUUAACACCUUUCAAAUUCACCAUAACCCUACCCACCCCCACACUAAAUAAUAAUAAUAAUAAUAAUAAUAUUUGAGAUGGAGUUGCACUCUUGUUCCCCAGACUGGAGUGCAGUGGCAAAAUCUCGGCUUACCACAACCUCCGCCUCCUGGGUUCAAGCGAUUCUCCUACCUUAGCUUCUUGAAUAACUGGGAUUAUAGGCAUGUACCACCAUGCCUGGCUAAUUUUGUAUUUUUAGUAGUAGAGACAAGGUUUCUCCAUGUUGGUGAGGCUGGUCUUGAACUCCUGACCUCAGGUGAUCCGCCUGUCUCAGCCUCUCAAAGUGCUGGGAUUACAGGCUUGAGCCACCGCACCUGGCAACAUUGAAUUAUUUUAAAGAAAAUCUGGGACAGCAUCUUUCUUGUGUUUGUCUAGUGUUUAGAGAAAUACCCAAAAAGAGGGAGACACCCAAAAUUUAUAUGACCAAAUAUUCUGUUUAUAUUUACCCUACUUUAUAUUAUGAUCUUUCCUUAAAGACAGACCAUUACUUUGAGGCAGCUAAUUAAUGGCAUAAAUGGUAAAUUUAAACAGGAAUAUCAUGAGCUUCUUUCCAAAACUACCAAAUUGGCAUCUGGUCUCUGUUGUCAGAGGGAUGGUUGAAGUUGAGAAAUAUUAAAGUUUUCUUUGAGCUGAUCAGCAUCUUGAUUACUUGCCAAGAUUUUUUAGUUAUGAAGCAGUGUCUUUGGAUAAAUCAGCCAUGAAAAUGAGCUUUAGCUAUGGCAGAUUUCUAGCCCUUAGAAGUUGUUUAUGAAACUCUGUAUUAGGGUGAAUACUGAAUAGUCCAUCACACCAAUAAUGGGGCUAGAACAAAAUUGCUUGACUCUGGUUCGAUGCUACUUUAAUACCCUAAGUUGUAAAACUGGCUGUCAGAAUGGAAUAAACAAUCAGAGGAGCCUGCAGCAGAAAAUAUUCUGGCCUUGAUGAUUGGGCUAAAGUAAAGCAGAUGUAAGUCACAUUUCUGGAGCUUGCUUUUUUUCUGAGGCAUAAUUCACAAUGUAAAAAUUCUCCAAGAAAACGGCUCUUCUGCUGGUUAAGAGGUAAAUAAGACUGCUUGAGAUGUCAGAAUAAAGAAAAUCUUUCCACCUGGACUUGUUGAAGCUUUUGAUAAAUUCACUGAAAUUUAGCAGAGUAAUAAAGAACCUUACCGGAUCAUUAGGCUUUUCCUUGGAAAGAAAGUAUACCACAGACAGGGAAACGAUGGAAUUAAUGCCAAAAAACAAGUUGACACACACGUAAGUGAUGAAGGCCAUUCCUGUUUCAUGGAAGAGCCCAGCCAGCAAGUACAUCCAAGAAAAUGUUGCAUACCUGCAGGGGACCUUGGUUAACCAAAGUCACAAAUGGGCUGUCAACAGUUUCCCAAAGGAAAACAAUGUGAAGAAUCAAGAAAUAAUCUUUCACCAGAGGAAUCCUUGCAAAUGCAUAUUACUCCACUAUGCAAAAUCCUGUGGAACCAGUUUUUUAUACAUAUUUUUAGCUGAAAGAUCAAGGAAAUGUGUCACAGUUGGGGACCUAUAUUAUAAUUAUCCCUGUAGGUUAUACAGCAUCCAGCAUGAUGUCCAAAGUAGAGGGAGUGGUCAAUAAAUGCUUUUAAAUGAACUCAAAUCCUAAAAUUUCAAUUCAUAUUGCUAAUUAGAUGCUUCCCAUGGACCACUGCCUCUAAUGCAACAAAGUAAGAAUAAACACUGGAGUCCAAGAGAAAAUGUGUUAGUAUUCUUGAAAAAGAGGCUAGUUGUAUAACAUUUGUUAAGGAAAACAAGCAAAUCUGUAUUUUUUUUUAGAAGAAAGAACAGAAUUUUUAUGCUGUAUUAACCACUAGAGGGAACCACAUGAAUAUAAUAGGUAAUGGUAUUGCAAAGGAAAGCUAAUUAAAAGAUUUUUAUUAGCAUGUUAGAAUUCAAAGAAAAUCAAUUUUACAGUUAAAGUAAAAUCCAAAUUCAUGCAAAAUCUAACAAAGAUGCUUUCAAACAAGUAGUGUGUUAGAGGGAGGCAGCGGGAGAAUAAUUGGGUUGAUUUUUAAAACCAAUAAUUUUUUUACAAUGGUAGACCUCAUACAUGCAUUAAGAAACAAUAAAAGUACGUUAGGAUGAUGUAGAUUUCUUCUUUGAAGGAGAUCGGGUUCCUUCCAAAGAGAGUGGAAACUUAUGAUGUCUAUAAGUUUAUUUAAGAAAAAUUAUUAGAGGGUAGAAGACAUGUUAUUACUAAUUUCUAUAUAACUCAAGCUAAAUCUUAUAUUAGUUUUAAUUAAAGUAAACUUCAGUUUAGGGUCAAAAUAAACUUUAUGUUCUAGAAUUCUUUAUACUCUGUAACUUAAAAUGUAAUGUUAGGUGCUACAACAAGCCUACUAGAGUCUAGAGUGACUCAGAUUGCCUUGGUCAGAAUAAAGAGCACUAAUUAUAAAGGAAGCCAGAAUACAGGUUUUAAAAAGCUGACCCUUCAAAAGUAGCAGGGGUCUCUUGUUCUCUUUAUUUUUGCUACAUUUUCCCUGUUAUUUCUGUCGUUCUUAUACUUUCAUUAUCUGUCUCAACAAUAAAUGUUUUUGCUCUGAAUAAAACACCCUACUGAAAGUACAGUGUCCAGUAGUGUUUCAUACCAGGUUACACUAGACCCAACUCACUUUAGUCAUCAUUUAAUUUCAUUUACCACUUUUGACUUUUAUCUUUAUUGAUGCUCUAGAUCUCAGGACUAUCAAUCUUGUUAUUUGCUUCUUGGUUUCUUCUGCUAGGAAAAUGCCAAAGCAAUUGGAAAAAAAAAAUACCAUUUUAUCUGAAAUGAAGAACCCUCAAGAUCCUGUUGCUGUGAUCAGUAUUGGACUCUUCAGUCUACUUCUGCAGUCACCAUCUGGCACACACUAUGAUGCCCAACAGUAGGGAGGGGAAAAAAAGUAGCUGUUGGCAUUUUGGCAUUUCCAAAAGAUAUGUUUUACAGUUUUUUCUACUUAAUAGACUAUUUAUCAAGCUAUAAAUCUCAAUCUUGGCAAGCAAA